AGUGAACGCUGGCGGUAGGCCUAACACAUGCAAGUCGAACGGCAGCACAGUAAGAGCUUGCUCUUACGGGUGGCGAGUGGCGGACGGGUGAGGAAUACAUCGGAAUCUACUUUUUCGUGGGGGAUAACGUAGGGAAACUUACGCUAAUACCGCAUACGACCUACGGGUGAAAGUAGGGGAUCUUCGGACCUUGCGCGAUUGAAUGAGCCGAUGUCGGAUUAGCUAGUUGGCGGGGUAAAGGCCCACCAAGGCGACGAUCCGUAGCUGGUCGGAGAGGAUGAUCAGCCACACUGGAACUGAGACACGGUCCAGACUCCUACGGGAGGCAGCAGUGGGGAAUAUUGGACAAUGGGCGCAAGCCUGAUCCAGCCAUACCGCGUGGGUGAAGAAGGCCUUCGGGUUGUAAAGCCCUUUUGUUGGGAAAGAAAAGCAGCAGGUUAAUACCCCGCUGUUCUGACGGUACCCAAAGAAUAAGCACCGGCUAACUUCGUG
rnacentral:rRNA from 1 species